GUCCACGCCCUAAACGAUGGAUGCUAGAUAUUGGCAGUAUCGACCCUGCCAGUGUCGGUUAAAUAGCUAACGCAUUAAGCAUCCCGCCUGGGAAGUACGGUCGCAAGACUAAACUCAAAGGAAUAGACGGGGACCCGCACAAGCGGAGGAGCAUGUGGUUUAAUUCGAUGGUAAGCGAGGAACCUUACCUGGGUUUGAAAUGUAGCUGCACGCCUUUGGAAACAGAGGAAGCCUUCGAGGGUGCUACACAGGUGCUGCAUGGUUGCCGU
rnacentral:rRNA from 1 species